AUGUUCCCGUUCAAUUUCAAGAGGAAACAGUUUCCAGUGAGACUCAGUUUUGCAAUGACAAUAAACAAAUCACAAGGUCAGACAAUACCAAAUGUCGGCGUCUACCUGCCUGAACCAGUUUUCUCACAUGGUCAACUAUAUGUUGCGCUUUCUAGAGCGACUGCGACAUUAAACAUAAAGGUAUUAACGGGAGCACAUGAUGAGGACAAGGGGAAGAAUAAGAAGAUCAGUACAGGAGACACAAACACAAAGGAGGACAAAAGGAAAAAGAAUAAGAAGAUUCGUACAGACGAGACAUACACAAAGAAUAUUGUCUACACAGAAGUCCUCACCAAAUAG
rnacentral:rRNA from 1 species